rnacentral:sRNA from 1 species
AAUUGGAGGAGUGCAAAUCAGAAAAAUCCAGAUAGUGAAAAUAUAAAUGGAAUAAUUAUACAUGCGAAACUUACCUAAAAAUGGAGAACGUGGUAGAAAUUAAAUAGGCUUCUUAAUAUUGACUAGCAGAAACGCAACUUCAUCCAUUCAUUCACGUGGAUCAAUACGAAACGCUAAGAUAUGGCGCCGGUGGCGAAGAAUGUAUGACAAGUAAAUACCCGAAAGAACGACGUACAGUCCAAUCCCUUUCCUAAUAUUCUAUCUAUCUGCACAUAUGGCUACUUCAAUGAUUUGGUUUGAAGCCUCAUUGACAGCAGUAAAAAAUGCAAUCACAAUUGAAA